GCUUACGGCCAUACCACCCUGUCUGCGCCUGAGCUCGUCUGAUCUCAGAAGCUAAGCAGGGUCGGGCCUGGUUAGUA
rnacentral:rRNA from 1 species